rnacentral:rRNA from 1 species
GACGAACGCUGGCGGCGUGCUUAACACAUGCAAGUCGAACGGAAAGGCCUGCUUUCCCUUGUGGAUUGCGGGUACUCGAGUGGCGAACGGGUGAGUAACACGUGAGUGAUCUGCCCCCAACUUGGGUAUAAGCCUGGGAAACUGGGUCUAAUUCCCGAUAGGACUGCAGGGUGGUGCCUGUGGUGGAAAACGAUUUUCUAGUGGUUGGGGAUGAGCUCGCGGCCUAUCAGCUUGUUGGUGGGGUAAUGGCCUACCAAGGCGGCGACGGGUAGCCGGCCUGAGAGGGUGGACGGCCACAUUGGGACUGAGAUACGGCCCAGACUCCUACGGGAGGCGGCAGUGGGGAAUAUUGCACAAUGGGCGGAAGCCUGAUGCAGCGACGCCGCGUGGGGGAUGACGGCCUUCGGGUUGUAAACUCCUUUCGACCGCGAGGAAGCCACCUGGUUGGAAGGGUGGUGACGGUAGUGGUAGAAGAAGCACCGGCUAACUACGU